rnacentral:rRNA from 1 species
AACGAACGCUGGCGGCAGGCUUAACACAUGCAAGUCGAGCGCCCAGCAAUGGGAGCGGCGCACGGGUGAGUAACACGUGGGAACGUGCCCUUUGGUUCGGAAUAACGUAGGGAAACUUGCGCUAAUACCGGAUAAGCCCUUACGGGGAAAGAUUUAUCGCCAUUGGAGCGGCCCGCGUUGGAUUAGCUAGUUGGUGGGGUAAAAGCCUACCAAGGCAACGAUCCAUAGCUGGUCUGAGAGGACGACCAGCCACACUGGGACUGAGACACGGCCCAGACUCCUACGGGAGGCAGCAGUGGGGAAUCUUGGACAAUGGGGGAAACCCUGAUCAGCCAUGCCGCGUGAGUGAUGAAGGCCUUAGGGUUGUAAAACUCUUUCGGCGGGGACGAUAAUGACGGUACCCGCAGAAGAAGCU